AAUUUUUCGUAAAGGUACGAUCAGCAGGCGACGUGCGUUGUUUUGAGGGUUUUAGCUGGUGACAAAAGGGUCGUAAUGAAGCAGGGACGACCUCACGCGGACGAAGAUCUUGAAGCGAAAAUCAUAUCGAGUGAGAUCGGAUGCUUCGGUUCCGUCCUGUUUGCAGUGUUUGUGGCCGAAGGCGAAGCUUGUGGAAAAUACGAACACUUGGUGAGCCAAACGUGAUGGCAACAAUGACAAGGUUCAAGCAGUGACUUGAGCAGUGGAUCAAGUAUCUUGCAUUAGGAUAGUGCCUUGUUAUCCUUGCUUGGACACCUGUGCAUGCCCCACUAUGUUAGAAGCGCCAUCAAACCCCAUUCCCAGUAGUCAAUCAAGAUGGAUCCCCCACUGGCUGAGGUUCUCAAGAAGUGAUUCAGUUAUUGUUGCUGAAGCAGUGGCAGGUAAAUCCACAAAAUCAAGAGACAAUUCAUGUGCAGCAAUUUCAUUUGCUGCAGACCUUUUUAACAAAUGGUAUGCAAACUGCCAUCUGUUCUGUCAUCGAUACGUCAGAUGACUUAUCUGCUAUGAUACUGACAAACUUUGAUUUAUUUAAUUUGGAGAUUAAAGCACAGGGAAUACUAUUACUGAUAUGGUCAAUCAUUUCAUUCUUGAUUUGAGGAGAUAAGUACCAUGCAUUUUUAGGGGUUGUGGACAGGUGCAUCAACAGGUUUUCAUUGUAUUUUGCUGACCAAUUGCCAAAAAAUUCAAAAUUGAUAUUUUCUCUUCUAGUAGAGCUAUCCCAGCUCCCACAAAUUCUUAAUUGUGAAACUGUAAGCAAGGUUGUUGUGUAAAGCACUUCAACCACAAGAAUGAGGAUGUUUUCUAGAACUCAACCAUUUAUUUUUGUACAUUUCUCAACUUCAAAGGCGUGUAAAUCACAUGACUUGAAUAUCACUCUAGCAAUGGCACACAAUGCCUACAAACAAGACAAAAAAUAUUAAAGCUAAACAAAAUGUCGUUGUUCAGUUGCGACAGAAAUUUUCAAUCCUAUUACAAAUAGGCUUUUGGUAAGUCUUCAAUUUGACCAUUUGCACCAUGACUUGCAGAACAAAAAGCUAAGGAAUUCAACAAAAAAGCUGCAUUAAAUUCCCCAUGAGUCUUGUAUAAGUGUCUCAUUUGAUUUGAGUUUUUGAGUGGAAAAAGACCAGAUUUACAUAAUGUUGCCUUAACUUUGGUAGAAUUCUUAGCUGGAGAAAGAUCUGAUAGGUAAAAUGGAGUUAUUAAGCACACAAUAUGUGCACAAUAUUACAUUGCAGCUAAUAAGCUGAAUUGUGUGAAAUUAAC